AGCCUGUCAGACUGGAUAUAUUGUGUUCACAAACUGUUUUUCAGAACUGCAGUUUCCUGCUGAGAAUCCCAGUUGGACUCAUAUCUGCCGUGGGAGUCCUUCCCUCCAGGUUCUCAGUUGUCGUCAGGGAUGAGUUAUGUGCCGUUGGGAAAUUCGUUUGGGCUGGACCAGCAAUUUGCUGAUCUAGACCUGAACUCCUCUAAUAAUCAAAGUGGAGGAGGAAGUACAGCGAGCAAAGAGCGCUAUAUACCUCCUCAUUUAAGAAAAAAAGAAGCAUCUAAAGUAUGUCAUUAUGGCAUAUGGGUAAACCUGACUUUUGCUUUUUUGGUUGUUUUUGGUCAUGGGGCUUGAACCUGGCCUGUGCAUUACCGCUGAGCUUUUCAGCUCAAGGCUAGUC